rnacentral:lncRNA from 1 species
GCGGAUGACCGUGGGGCGUACACUCUCUGUGCAAUAUCUAUGUCCCAACGUCAACAUAUUGUUAGCGUUCCAAGAAACGCACAAGUGGUGAGGCAGCAUCAACGGAAGUGAAGGAAUCACAAUGAUGUUUUCUUUUUGCCGUUCUGAGGGACAAAACGUCUUGCACGAAAUGUGUUGGGAAUACAGCUGUUACCACAAUGUUGAGCGGCACCAAUCGGUUCGAAUCAGGGGUGGGGUUUAGGCUCCUGCUUACAAGGGCUGUUUGAAAACACAAACAAAGGCGGUAAGGCCCACUCUUAACCCCGUUUUAAUUAACGUAAUCUAAGACGGCUCCUUGCAACGCCUCUGUCGGGGCUGGCUCGGCCCCUUUCAGCCAAGCGGAGAUGCAAAUGUAUAAAAAGCCCUUGGGCUCCGUCCAGUGAGGCUUCAGAGUUCCAGGAGACUUAAAGACACCUAUGUGUGGUCCCGGCUUGGACAUCACCACCGCCUUCACCAUGCAACCGCGAACUGUGUUUGCUCUCUACUUGAUGUCACUGGUUGCUUCUGUUUUUCCAGCACCAGUCCAUGAUGCAAUGGAUCAUGACACUACGAACAUCUACAAAGGUACAACCCUGCUGGUCAUUUUAAAUGGUGCUGAUCUGCCCACUGGUAGCGUUGCCCCUGGAAGCCACAUGGAUUCAGUGGAUACCUCUGCUGACAUCACAGAUGUGCCAGAAGCUCCUGUCACUAUGGGUAUCCAAACUCUGGACAUGAAAGUGGUGGAUGGACCUGAUAAGUCAUCAGCAGAAGAAGCAAAAGACACAGAUGAGGAAGACUCCGCUGAAAAGAAUCCCAAAGACUCUGACAAGAGCAGCCAGGAUAGUGACAGUGACAGCAAACAAGACAAGAGCAGCAAGGAAGACAGUGACAGUAGCAAUGACAGUGACAGCAAACAAGACAAGAGCAGCAAGGAAGACAAGGAGAGCGACAGUGACAGCAAACAAGACAGGAGCAGCAAAGAAGACAAGGACAGUGACAGUGAUAGUGACAGUGACAGCAAAGAUGAAAAAGACAGUAAAGAAGACAAGGACACUGACAGUGACAGUGACAGUGAAGGCGACAGCAAACAGGACAAAAGCAGUAAGGAAGACAAAGACAGUGACAAUGAAAGCGACAGUGACAGCAAACAAGACAAGAGCAGCAAAGAAGACAAGGACAGCGACAGUGAUAGUGACAGUGACAGCGAUAGUGAUAGUGAUAGCAAACAGGACAAAAGCAGCAAAGAAGACAAGGACAGCGACGGUGACAGUGACAGCGACAGCGAUAGUGACAGCAAACAGGACAAAAGCAGCAAGGAGGACAAGGCUGAUGACAGCAAGCCAGACACAGAGAGUGACAGUGAUGGUUCUGACAGCAAGGAUGCAGACAAAGACAGCAAAGAGGACAGUCCAGAUAAAAGCAGUCAGGAAUCCAGCAAUCUGAACAAACAUGAGCAUGACAAGAGCCAGGAUAUGGACAGCACCAGCAAACAGGACAACAGCAAGGAAAAGGAUUCUUCCUCUGACAGUACCAGCAGUAGUGAGAGCAAGUCCUCUGAUUCCGAUGAUGACGAUACCUCUGAGGUAACUACGGAUGACAGCGAUGUCAGCUCUGAUGUAUCCCACAAACCUGAUCAAUUUGGCCAGACCACACAGGGCACCAUGCAAGUGUCUCACGCUGGCCACACCAUCCCAGCACAAGUGUCCUAGCAACGUGGCCUAAUGCCACAGGAUGCUGGGGAUUCUGAUCCAUUUACAGGAGCAUGCCAAGGGUCGCAAAAAAAAAGCGCCAGAUCCUGAAGCAGUCGGAUUUCCUUGAUGUCGGAACCAGAGGAACACAAGCAAUCUGUUUUAUGUUCCUCAGCCUUUUCCUAUCAAAAUGUGGUGGAUGUGUCUCUCUAGGUCUAUGGGGAAAUAUUAAAUUAUUCUGCUGUUAAUGUACAUUACUUCUUUUUUUAUCUGCACUUUUAGGGAAGUUCUUAGCAUUUGACAACUAACCAGUUAUUGGAAAGUUCCUCCAUCUUCACCCCAGUCAUACUUUUCAUGUGCUCCUUCAGUUAAUUUCAGCAAACAAUAAUAAGGUAUUUGUUACAUGCAAGAAUAAAACAGUUCUCACGGUCUACA